rnacentral:rRNA from 1 species
UACGUAGGGUGCAAGCGUUGUCCGGAAUUAUUGGGCGUAAAGAGCUCGUAGGCGGUUUGUCGCGUCGAAUGUGAAAACCCGGGGCUCAACCCCGGGCCUGCAUUCGAUACGGGCAGACUAGAGUUCGGUAGGGGAGUCUGGAAUUCCUGGUGUAGCGGUGAAAUGCGCAGAUAUCAGGAGGAACACCGGUGGCGAAGGCGGGACUCUGGGCCGAUACUGACGCUGAGGAGAGAAAGCGUGGGGAGCGAACAGG